rnacentral:rRNA from 1 species
CCUUCUCAAACACCUGUGUUUGGUUGUGAGUGAUACUCUCUCUUUUGAGUUAGCUUGAAAGUGUUGGCCGAUUGCAGUUGUAUUGCAAAUGUGUACAGUUUUAGAUUGAGUAGUGUUGUGUGUGUGAAUUUUAUUUACACGGGCAAGCUGUCCAUUCAACUGUGUGUAUUUUGAGAUACUGUGCUGUGAAGAUGUACAAGGUCGUAUUAGGUUUUACCAACUCGAUUGCGUGUGUUUUUAUGGUUGUGGUAUGUUUGAGAUAUGCAUGGGGAUUAGUGAGUCUAGCAAUAUUGCUUUUCUGAGUUGUGCUUUAUUUUGUUUUUUCUGUGGCGAACAAUAUUCUCCAAGU